ACUCAUAACAACCCGGGACUUGCCAGCCCAGUUGAUGGAGAUGCCCAAAGACAGGUGAACUCUCUGAGGGCUUAAGAGACCUUCAGUCUCAGCUGUUUCUUCUCCAAGGUUCCAGAGAAUUUUCAAGGAGAGACAGUUGGCAGGAGAGCCCAUGACUGCUGAUGUACAAAGCACCUUAAAGCAGAAGGAGUGCCAUGGCCGGUGGCUGCCCAGGCGGGCUGUUCAUUAUUAGCUCAGGUUCCCCACACUUGUAAAUUAGCAUUUCAACAUCGAGCCCCUUCAUUCUGCUUAAAUAUUUGUUUUUCUAGUUUCUUUGGAAAGAAGGGAGAGCUAUCCCGUCCACCCCCAAGGCCAGACCACAUUGGGGCUGUGGGGCAGCUGCCCCUUGAGUGGGAUGUCCCCAGCUCCGCCCCUCUCCAUGCUGCCUGUGCACUGCUCCAAGCAGCAGGACUGACCUGCAUGCUUUCUAGGUCCACCUGGACCUUUUCAUGAUGAUCCAAAGGCUGACAUGAAACAUGACCAUGACCAAGGUUUUAGCCAGAGCCUGGUCUCGACCAUGACCCGCGCAGAUGGGACAAACUGGGUUUAAACAGGCUGGCUGCAACAUUAAGCUAAGAAGGUGGUUGUGAAAAAUCACAUGGCACAGAAAGCAGUAUCCAGAAAGCAGGGCAGGACAGCUCUUUGACUUUCAGGGUCAAGCUUGUAGGCUGGAGCAUGAGCCUGCGUUUGAUUUAUUUUAUAACAGGGAUAGGGAUUCAAGGGCGAGGUCUUGCUUCAUGGUGUCCUGUGGUCAGCAGAUUGAUUGGUAUCUUUGCAGGUCACUCCCAUCUCAGGUGCUGUGUGGGAUCUUAGGCAGAGCUUGAAGGGAAGGUUUACCUGCAUCAAGUGAUCAAUCCCCGAGGGGGUGCUACAGGGAGUUGGCAAUGCCAGACCUAUCCCCUCACUUGGCUACUAUGCGCAACAGUCCACACACAGCUCAUGGAUGGCUCGUGACAGCCUGGAAAUGCCAUGGCUCCCACACACCUGCUCUUCUGAGUGGAAGAGAGUUGGCCAUUGCUUGCUGGGAGUCAGAAGCCAGUAUCCUUCAGUUACUGAGGCCUUCUGUGGGCCAGCACCAGGUGGGACUUUACUGUUUUUUACUUCUCCAAACUCCAAGCUUACAGAUGAAAGAAGGAGACCUGGUGAAGUUACCAGUGACCUCAGUGACCGAGUGCACUGAGAUUCCUGUGCCCUGCACUGCGUCCUCUUUGGGUUUCCCAUUCAGGCCUCACAGCUGCCCUACAGUGUGAACACCAUUAUGCUUUCUGUUUUGCAGACAAGGAAACUGAGGCAAGUUAGAGGGAAGUUAGAGAACCUUGGCAGAGGUCUAGAGCAAGAAGAGGUCAAACCAGAACUUGUCCUGGGAAACUAGUUGAGAGCCUGUGCCACUCUGUGAGUGGCAGGGAGGACUCGAGCUGAAUGGAGCGUGCUCAGCAGUGAGCCCAGAUCUCAGUCACUCUGUCCUGUUGGCAUGUGGGCUGGUCUCCCUCAGCCAUGCACAGCUUCCUCAGGCAAAAUGCAUCCAGGUCUCCGGAGAAUGCCCUGGAUUUGUACCUGCUCCCCGUUCUCAGCCCACCCCCUGAUGCCUUCACCUCCAUUCCACACUCUUGCCUGAUUUUCUUCCUGUAAGUUCUGUUUUUUUUUUGAGUUCUGUGUCCUGUCCUCUCUGAAGCCACCUGGGACUCACCCAUUCACAGAUGCCCAUAUCUGGUGCCAACUUGACAUAGUGGAUUAGGAUCGUUUGAGAAACGUAGAGAAUUGGUUGUAGCAUCACCAGAUGCGCCUGCCUGUCUCUGAGCUCCUGUAAAGGAAGACUUUCCUCUCACUCGUUUGCUGUCCUUGGGACCCAACACAGUGUCUGUCACAUAGUUGGUGCUUAGUUACUGAUGGCAUUUUACAGGUUCCUCUGCUUGGAUUUCUGCCCAGAUGCCUGUCUUGUGGGUGGGGCGAUCUGGGAGCCAUGGCUCCUGGUUGGUCACGGUUGGACGCGCUUCCUGUACCUGUGUGUGAGAUGCUGAGCACCUAUGGGCCACUCAGUCGUCCCCUCACAGCCGUGGGGCGCACAUGCACAGAUCCAUGUGCCCACUCUCCCGGAGCUGAGGCCACCUGCUCCCCUUCUCUCCCUCGCACCAUCUCUUAGACCUGAGUAGAGAAAUGAGGACAGGCGGAAGAGUGAGAAGCUCCUCGGGGUCUGGCAGGUUGGGUUAGCCUGGCAAGUGGAGGGCUGACUCUGGGAUAAGGCUCAGGGAAUCUCUGGGAUACCAAGUGACCACAGAUGUUGUUCCCCCAAGACAGGAGGCUGGGAGCAGUAGAAAGAAAGAGGGCCACUGUUUGUGCUGGGACGUGAGGUAACUGUGCAGUCAGGAGACUGAGAGCUGGAAAUGGCGUGGCCUCUGGAGCUGGCCUUUCUAAGUAGCUCUGCUGUGAUAAAGCGACCAAACACGCCUCAGCCCACCUGGCCAGGGCUGGUGGGGCUGCUCUGCUCCCUGGGAGAUGAGACUCUGGUGUCAGGUAACCUGCUGUUCCGCUCUGAUUUUAUUCUGUGAUUUCUGGGUACCUUAAUCUAGGUUCUCACUCUAAGUCUCAUGUUUUAAAUUUACAAGACGGGGCUCUAACAAUACCUUACAAGAGUAUUAAGAAGACCAAGAUGAAACAGGAAGGUGAGUUGAAAUACGUAAAUGGAGGCCAAUGAAAGGGGCUUUGUAGAGUGUGACCCCACUACAGCCGAGGUUGGGAGCAGCAGGAGGCUACAGCCUUACCCCCCCACAGUCCCCGCAUCCCCACACCCCGCAUCCCCCUGUCUGAAGGCCCCGCCUGUCAUGCUCUUUUGCUUGGGUAGCCAGUGGUGCUUCCAGUUGUCCCUGGGACUGGUCUCUUGUCCUUUCUCCCAUGUGAUAUUUAAUUGUUCUGAAUGUAGACCAAACACAUGUGUGUUAUAAAAUCCAGACGCUCAGACAAGACAGAGAACAUAAAAAGACCUAUUCCCCAUCUCCCCCGAGGUGGGCUCUUAGAACCUUCCUGCCUCUCCUCCCAGAGGUCCCUACACUUCUCAGAAGUGUGAAUUUUUUUUUUUUUUAAUCAGAAGGGGAUUGAUUUUACAAUGUACUCUGCUUUGUGACCUGCUUUUCCACUUCACCAGGGAUCAUAAACACUUUCCAUGGAUACAUCUCUGCAGUUUGGGGAACUGUGGAGCUUCUCAUUGUGUGCACGAGGUAAAACUUACUUAGCUAAGCAGCCUCUGUGCUGCACAGAGCUUUUCACGGCCACACAUGAAGCUGGGAGGAGGUGUAGCCUGGUCUCUGUGCGUUUCCAUGUGAUUUCCACAGGAGAGCUGCCAGAAGUGGAGUCUGCCCUGUGGGAUGGCCUGACCUGUGUGCUUCCUUCCUGCAGUGAGGGUCCAGCUCCUCUCGCUCUGGCCAACACGCAACAGAAUCCUUUUCAUUUAAAAAUGAACAUUUAUUUUUUAGUUGUGUGCUCAGUAUAGGGUAUUUGGAAAAUAAACAAAUAUAAAAAUUUAUAUUAAAAAUGAAAUAGUCACAAAAAAUACUCACAUAUAUUUCUAUUAAAUAUACUUAUAUAUUGAUAGUUAUUUAAAAUCAUUUCUAUAUUGUCAGUUACCAUACUGCCACUUUGAGUAGUUAACCACUGUUGAGUGUAUAUUUAAAAAUAUGUAGUAUAUAUAUAUAAUUUUAUAUUUAAUUGGGAUUAUGCCCCAUGUACUCUUUUAUAUUUUUUUUACUACAUGAGUGUACAAUUAUUUUUCCAUAUCAUUAAAUACUUUCAAAAAUGUAGAUUUUGACUUCUGCACAGUGGCGUGCCUUAUGGUUGAUUUUAAGCCAGUUGCCUGGGGAGAGUCCAAGCUGUUGUCUCAUGAGUGUUUCCUUUUUGUGACCAGCGUACUUCACUUAGUAUAAUGUCCUCAUGGUCUGCCUGUGUUGAGCUGGUGUCAGAAUCCUUCCUUCUAGAAGGUGAAUGAUGUUCCAUUCUGUGAGUAUACACCACGUGUUGACUUAGUUUGUGGCCUAGUAUGUGGUCCAUCCUGGAAAAGCUCCCGUGGGCACCUCAGAAGAAGGUGCAUGCUGCUGUUGGCAGGCAGGGUGCCUGAGCAUGUCCACUGGGUCUGGCCGGCUGACGUGGCAGGUUCUGUUUUCUUACCUUCUGUCUGUCCAUUCCUGACUAAGUGUGGAACAAUUGUUACAGAAUUCUCGACUUCUCCCUUAAAUUCUGUCUGGAUUUGGUUCACAUAUUUUGAUGGUCUGUUAUCAGGUAUGUAAAUGUUUUCACCUGUCACAUCUUGCUAAACCUUUUAUUAAUAUAGAAAAUCCUUAGUCUGUUGCACUCUUUUUUGAUUUAAAGUGUAUUUUCUCAGAUAUUAGUGUAGCUACCCCUUUCUCUUUUGGUCACUAUUUAUGUGAAAUAUCUUUUUUCGUCCUUUCACUUUGAUUUACUGAAUGGUCUCUCACAGACAGCAGGUAGUUGGACCGUGUUUUUCACACUCCUCUGCCAGUCCCUGUCCUUUCACUGGAGAGGGCAUCCACCUUUGUUGAGAUCAGCGACCGUCUGGUGUCACUUUGUUCCACCUGCAGGACUUCCUUGAGCGUUUCUAGCAGUGUGCUCCCCUAGCCCUUGUUUACCUAGGAGUCUCUCAGGUGCUCCUCUCUCGGGAAGGACAGCUUUGCCAGACACAGGUUCUUGGCCAACAGAGUGUUUCUUCCAGUACUCUGAAUAUAUCGGCCCACUCGCUGCAUUUUGGGCCAUGGAUGUUUCUGAUGAGCAAUCUCCUGAUCACCCACCGAGGAUUCCUUCUAUGUUCCUGCACGUGAGAGCAGGUGUCAGUCCUGGUGACGCUGAGCGCUGUGCUGUCUGUGAAGAUCCAUUUGCACAUUGUUAAUCUUGCGUUCAGUUGGUGAACCCUGGGUCGGUUCCACUUUUUGGCGAUUCUGAAUAAUGCUGCUAUAAACACUGCAUAGAGAUUUUGGGUAGACAUUCUCAUUUUCCUUGGCCACCAGGUCACCGGGCAGCUCCGAGGAGCUGGUCAUGGCUGUUUUCCAAGGCAGCCUCACCAGCACAGAGGUUCCCUGCAUCCUCAUCAGCGUUGCCAGUGUUUGUCCCUUGAUGAUAGCUGUCCUACAGCGGGUGAAGCCAGCCUCACUUAUUCGCAGUUGCCUAAUGACGAGUGAUAUUGGGCAGUUUUUCAUGUGCUUAUUGCUUUUUGUAUAUCUUGUUUGGAGAGAUAUCUAUUCAAACCCUUUGCCUGUUUUAAAAUUGGAAUAUUUGUCUUUUUACUCUUUGAGUUGUAAUAGUUCUUUGUGUGUUCCAGUUUUGCACAGAUACAUGGUUGUAAAUAUUUUA